AUGACCAUUUCCAAGAUCCACAUCCUUGAAUGGGCUUCCACUUGCAAAUAUAAUGUUCUCCCCGAGAACAGAAAAUGCUUCCUCAGGGGUGCAUUCAGCAUUUCUCGUUGGGUUUGACAUUGGAAAAAUUGCAGGCCGGGUUGAAGUUGAAUGCUUAAGGGCUUCCAGUACCUCUUUUGAAAACAAGCCUCCACAAGCAGAUAAACCAAGAAGUACAUCUGGCAACUCUUGCGGAAGUGGUACGCGAAGUGAAGCCAGAUGUACUUCUUGGU
rnacentral:misc_RNA from 1 species